AUUGAACGCUGGCGGCAGGCCUAACACAUGCAAGUCGAACGAGUGGCGGACGGGUGAGUAAUGUAUGGGAAACUGCCUGAUGGCGGGGGAUAACUACUCGAAACGGUAGCUAAUACCGCAUACCAUUAGAGCGGCCUAUAUCGGAUUAGCUAGUUGGUGGGGUAACGGCUCACCAAGGCGACGAUCCGUAGCUGGUCUGAGAGGAUGACCAGCCACACUGUAACUGAGACACGGUCCAGACUCCUACGGGAGGCAGCAGUGGGGAAUAUUGCACAAUGGGCGCAAGCCUGAUGCAGCCAUGCCGCGUGUAUGAAGAAGGCCGUCGGGUUGUAAAGUACUUUCAGCGGGGAGGCGUUACCCACAGAAGAAGCACCGGCUAACUCCGUGCCAGCAGCCGCGGUAAUAC
rnacentral:rRNA from 1 species